UGGGGAAUUUUGGACAAUGGGGGCAACCCUGAUCCAGCAAUGCCGCGUGCGGGAAGAAGGCCUUCGGGUUGUAAACCGCUUUUGUCAGGGACGAAAAGGUGCUUGUGAAUAAUGAGCGCUGCUGACGGUACCUGAAGAAUAAGCACCGGCUAACUACGUGCCAGCAGCCGCGGUAAUACGUAGGGUGCAAGCGUUAAUCGGAAUUACUGGGCGUAAAGCGUGCGCAGGCGGUUGGGUAAGACAGAUGUGAAAUCCCCGGGCUUAACCUGGGAACUGCAUUUGUGACUGCUCGACUGGAGUAUGUCAGAGGGGGGUGGAAUUCCAAGUGUAGCAGUGAAAUGCGUAGAUAUUUGGAAGAACACCGAUGGCGAAGGCAGCCCCCUGGGGCAAAACUGACGCUCAUGCACGAAAGCGUGGGGAGCAAACAGG
rnacentral:rRNA from 1 species